rnacentral:rRNA from 1 species
AAUCAACGCUGGCGGCGUGCCUCAGACAUGCAAGUCGAACGAUUAAAGCUCUCUUCGGAGAGUGUAUAGAGUGGCGCACGGGUGAGUAACACGUAAGUAAUCUACCUUUGAGUGGGGAAUAACAAUCGGAAACGAUUGCUAAUACCGCAUAAUGCAGCGGCACCGCAAGGUGACAGUUGUUAAAGGAGCAAUCCGCUUAAAGAGGAGCUUGCGGCAGAUAGCUAGUUGGUAAGGUAAUGGCUUACCAAGGCUACGAUCUGUAUCCGGUCUAAGAGGACGGUCGGACACACUGACACUGAAUAACGGGUCAGACUCCUACGGGAGGCAGCAGUCGGGAAUUUUGGGCAAUGGGCGAAAGCCUGACCCAGCAACGCCGCGUGAAGGAUGAAGUA